UAACCUGCCCAUCAGAAGGGGAUAACACUUGGAAACAGGUGCUAAUACCGUAUAACAAUCGAAACCGCAUGGUUUUGAUUUGAAAGGCGCUUUCGGGUGUCGCUGAUGGAUGGACCCGCGGUGCAUUAGCUAGUUGGUGAGGUAACGGCUCACCAAGGCCACGAUGCAUAGCCGACCUGAGAGGGUGAUCGGCCACAUUGGGACUGAGACACGGCCCAAACUCCUACGGGAGGCAGCAGUAGGGAAUCUUCGGCAAUGGACGAAAGUCUGACCGAGCAACGCCGCGUGAGUGAAGAAGGUUUUCGGAUCGUAAAACUCUGUUGUUAGAGAAGAACAAGGAUGAGAGUAACUGUUCAUCCCUUGACGGUAUCUAACCAGAAAGCCACGGCUAACUACUUGCCAUCAGCCGCGGUAAUACGUAGGUGGCAAGCGUUGUCCGGAUUUAUUGGGCGUAUAGUGAGCGCAGGCGGUUUCUUAAGUCUGAUGUGAAAUCCCCCGGCUCAACCGCGGACGGUCAUUGGAAACUGGGGAGACUUGAGUGCAUAAGAAGAGAGUGGAAUUCCAUGUGUA
rnacentral:rRNA from 1 species